CGAAUUUAUAAGAAACCAUUUUCAUAAAGAGUGCUACAUACAUACCAUGAACGGGGUUUACAGAAUACAGCGGAAGAAAUUAAACUUUAUUUAUAUACCCCGGUUUAAUAGACUAGAUUCCAAAAUCAGAGUACAAAAUGAACUCAUAAAUAUCUCCAUUAUACAUUAGACAUUUAAAAGGGAAAAGUGGAGACAUAAUUUUAUAAGAAAUCCGGAGAAGACAUAUAAGGCAUCAAGGCUUGUGAUUCCUCCAACUCCGCUCCGCUGCGCCACUUUGAUUAUAUUGAGGACCUGAAAAGGGGAUUCGCAUAAAGCGUGAGCCUAACCACUGGCUCAGUAAGAACAUUGGCCUGACGAUACUCACACCUCUCUCAACGUGUCACUCACGCCCUACGGGAGUCCUAAAGUCCUCGUAUAUGUUCUUUUCAUCUAUGUCUUUUAUGGCAUAACUGUAUUCAUUUAUUCAAUAUCAUGAGAUUCAUUCAUAUCACAUAUAAUUGGCCACGUAAGAAACUUAACACAUAAAAUUAGGCAUAUAAUAAACUUGCAAUCAUUCAUUCAUAUCACAUAUAAUUGGCCACAUAAGAAACUUAAUACAUAAAUUAGGCAUCUAAUAAACUUGCAAUCAUUCAUUCAUACACUUAACAUGAAUCUCACAUUUACCUGUUACUUUAAACCUUUCACUUUAAACAUUUCACGGAUACUUAACAUCCAACUUUCUUUUAUAAUCGGGUACUUAACACCCUUCUAACAUUUAAGGGUGCUUAACACCCUUUUUAACUUUACUAUGCAAUAUGCAAUAUGCAACUUUAGACUUCUAGACUUUUCAUGAAAUAAUGCAUGAGAAAACAUUGGGCCCGUUUGGAAAAACAAUCGUGGAGUUCGGCAAUAAGCCGUGUAUUUUGGAGCUUGUGAUCUAUAACUUUACUAUAGUCACGACUAUAACUUUACUAUAGCCGAGUUAGUGGUUUAUAAUCCCGAUUCCUAUGUGAAUCAGUCCCUAUGUGGACAGGUCCCUAUGUAGACCCCAACUAUCAACCACUAACCGGAAUAUAGUCACGGCUAUAACUUUACUAUAGCCGAGUUAGUGGUUUAUAAUCCUGAUUCCUAUGUGAAUCAGUCCCUAUGUGGACAGGCCCCUAUGUGGACCCCAACUAUGAACCACUAACGGAAUACCAGCCCCCCGUAUCCCAUACUUAUUCACCUAGAUCCACAACCAAUUUCCAAACAUUUUGACCUUUGAAAAAUCAUGAUUUAUGCAUCUUAAACUUACUAAUGAAUCAUAUGAUUUGUCUAUCUUUACUUUCACAUAAACAAACAACAAAGUAGCAAGUACCAUAUCAACUAUACUUCAAAUCUUUAAUCAAAUCAUUAAACACAUAAUCAUAAAGAACAUAACACUUUCACUUCAAAAGUACACAUAACAUUUCAUAACCCAAAGUAGCACAAAGGAGGGCAUUCCUCAACUUUAACUAUAUCAUAGUCACAUAAUCACAUAAUCAUAUAAUCACAUAAUCACACAUUCGUAUCAUUAAAAAUAUCACUUAUAUCGCAUUUAAAAGCACCUUAGGCCAUAGCUAUCUAAUAUUUCACAUAGAGCAUCGGGUACUUUACCUUUAUCGCAAGAUCACAUAACAACAAUUUAGAUAUAUAAGUAUAAUUCAUAAGCCAUGGAUCGGAGUAUAAUCACGACCACGUAGGCAUAAAUAUAUAUAUUUAUAUAUAGUAGCAUACUUAUAAUACAUAAGCCAUGGGUUGGAGUAUAAUCACAACCACGCAGGCGUAAAUACGUAUAUAGAUAUAUAUGUAUUAUAUAUUUAUCAUAUGUAUAGAUACUUGUACAAGAUUAAACAACAAUCAAGCAUAUAUUUAAUUUAUCACACACGAAGCUCUAAUCCACAUAAUUCCAGUCAAGUAUAUAAUCGAAAACACAUAACAAUAAUCAAGAACUUUUAGAUCAUCUAAAUAGCACAUAAGUUCUAUAAACAAUUUAUCAUCAUUCCUUAUAUUAUAAUCAUACUCUAACUUAUACCCGGUCACUAAUUUCUUCAAGAGUUAUUCUAUAAGAUAAAUACUCUAAAUAAUUUGUUCUAAGUUCAGUCAUGCUAUUAAGGUUAUGCAUCAAGAGUUUAAAACAUGCUCACAAUUAAUUCCAUCAAUUCAAAGAAAUUCAUUUUAGAAAAUAGGGCAGUUUUAAUACUUUAGUUUUGAAAAUUUAUUUCUCUUUACUCAUGCAUCCAAAAAUUCUGAAACUGUAACAUCAUACUCUCGUUAGAGUUGAAAAUACCCCUUUAAAACAGUUUUCCAAAAUACCUAUCCAAAGAAGAGAAAUAUUUAAAACCGUACAGCUCUGUUGUCGAAAUUCCAGAAACAGAGCAUUGACUUCAAAAAUACCAAAUACAAUUAUUUGCUUUUCAAAACACUGUGCAAUUUUGACAUAGAUUACAUUUAAAUGUCUAAUAUCUAAACCAAGUGGAAUUACGAUGAUCGGAGUAGCAUAAGAUCAGAUUUAACAUGCAUUUCUUUCAUGAUUCACAAUCUGUGCAGGUCCGGAAAAUAAAUCAUAACUUAAUCAUUUUAAAUCCAAAUAAGAAACACUUUAUAUCACAUUCAAGAUAACAGAGAGAUCUAUAGUCUCUAGAAAUUUUACAUUUUUAUAAAAAUAAAUCGUCUAUAAAACGAGGCUUAAACUCCAUGACUAUGAAUCUGUAAAUUUCAAUCUAAGCAUCUAGUUCAAGAUUUUAAACUCAAUCAUCCUAUAAUCAUAGAAUUAAAUCUUAAACACAUAAGAUUAACAUAAAAACAUCAGUAAACUUAACAUGCAAUUCAAUUUUAGUAAAGACCAAGGGGUCCUUAUCCAUUUGAAGAAAAUCAAAGAUAAGAGAACGAGAAAUCGAAGGAUUCAUGGAGGUCUUCGAGUUUUGGCCAUGGAUGAUCUUGGGAUGCUUUGGGCUGAGUUUGAAGGAUGUAGGACGGCUGUUUUCUUGGAUUUUAUUGAUGAGAGAAACCUUUUAUGAGUAUAUGCUGAACUAUUGAGGGGAAAGAAGAAGGAGAAGAGCUUGCUUCUUUGUGAAGAACAAGAGAAGCCUUUGGGAUUAUUUGAAGGAGGGGGUUGUCGUGGGUUAGAGAGGAGAGAGGGGAGAGGAAUUUUGGCUGAUGUUUUGGUGUGUGGAAA
rnacentral:lncRNA from 1 species